rnacentral:lncRNA from 1 species
AGGACAAUCCCCAUUAUGUCAUGAACGUUUCAUUGCUGAACAACCAUAGAUAUUUUCCUCUAAUUUGGCUCCUGUUUCUCCAACAGUGAGCAAGACCUGCCAGCAGAGCUCACUGGAGCAGGGAGACAUGCCGUCAUCCUUUUUGGCGCCUGACAAAGCUUGAGAUUCAGAUCCUGCUGAACGAUGUUAAGCAGUCGAUUAACCACAUGCAGGGGACGCUGAACACCAUGCAGGGGCAGUGUAUUGAGUUGCAGACUGCCAUGUCUAAGGUAGUGUCAGAUGAGUCUCAGAGUGAUCUUCCUUGGCCUCAUCACAUGUCUCAGUUGCUCCUCCUUUGGAGGGAGGGGGACACCACCACGGGACAGCCCCUACACUUAUCGCUAGAGAUCGAACUUCAGACUCCCUCCAAAACCACUGAACCCCUCAACACACCGAAAUAGUUUAUGAUGCACACCCUUAGAGGGAGCCGGAACAGGAUAACUCCCUCCACCCUCACAAAGACACAGAGGAGGAGGAACUAUCCAAUACCCAGUGAGAGAGAACGAGUGACCUCAAUCAAACACAGACAGAAAGUGGAGGUGGAAGAGGCAUUAGAUAGAUGGAGGAGGUUACCCCAGAGGCCAUUCCUCCUGUUCAUGUGAGCAAGAAAGAGCAGAAGGCUUCUGAUCAGCCAAAUGGCAGGCAGAGGGAGAGGUCAUAGUGAUUCACACCCACAGAGAAAGACAACCCACACAAGCUCUUGGUUGAGAUGAACCACACAGAGGUAGAGGCAGAGGGCUUUCAGGGCUAGCCAGUCAGCCUGCCUGCUCUAAAUCCUCAAGUCAAUUGUAUUUAAAUUCAUGUUCAUUAAAGAUUUUUAUUCAAUAAUUGAAAAGUCCCAUUUACUUAAUGAUCAUUUUUCACUGUCUUCAACCCUCAAGAACCAGGGUGAGUCUGGGUCACCCUUUUACUGGGCAAACAGAACUUGCAUAUCGUCAAAGACUAGGCCGAAACGUUAAUC